AGCUCUGGUACCAUGUUAGAUU
rnacentral:miRNA from 1 species